ensembl:lncRNA
CGCAUCUGUCUGUAGAAUUCCCUAUGCCCCUCCCCCGGCCAAACUCCAAAUCACCUGAUGUUACGGUCACUCCUAAUAUGGCCCUAUGCACUUGACUCUUUCAUUUUAUGACUUGCAGUGAAAUGAAAGGAGCAGAUUACUCAGGAUGUGUAAAUUAUUGUGAAUCAAAUUGAUGCAUACCGUGCACUUGUAACCGGCAGAAUUACGGUCCUGUCUCCCAGCAGCCACCGUAGCUUCUGUCCUGCUCUGCCACGCCCCUAAGUAGCACCAUGGCGGUUCAUUCAUUAGCCAAAGUGCUGCUCCUAACCAGCUCACCAGGUAGGAUAGUUGCGGUCUCUGGGUUUCCACUUCUUGCUCUCCAUGCUAUUGCUGCGAAAAGAACAACAGAGAGUGUUGCAGCUGUCUACGGGGCAGGUCGCCGGAUCUGAGUCCUCUUCUUCGCGCACUGCAUGCCGUAUUGAGUGGUGCAGCGCACGCUCUCCUUCGUUUGCUUGUCCCGGGAGCACAAGGCCACUGUAACCCUGGCGGCUGUCAUGGGGGCCUUUGUCAUCUGCUGGGGUCCCCUACUUCACCUACAUGGCAUGAGGGCUCAACCCGACCCGCCUGAGAUCGUCCACUAGGUGGUACUGUGACUGGGCUACUUCAACUCGGUGCUGAACCCCAUCCUCUACCCGGCCCUGAACUGACAGAAAGAAUGUGGGGGGAAAAGAUGUUUGCAUGUUUUGCUGUGACGAAUAGGCUGGUGGGGAAUAGUAAAUCAGUGACUGUCUUAGCCCGUUUCCUAGGAUCCCUUUGGGUAGACAGAGAGAGAGAUGAUGAGACAGGCCCAACCAGUCAGGGCUGCUUCAGAAGGCUGGCGAGAGUCACUGGUAACCAGAAGACGUUAGGCUAAAUCUGGAUUUAGGCUCAUUCAACUUGGUCUGACUGCACUGAGUCCAAAGGGUAGUGCUGCCUUUCCUCCCAGCCGUAGUUGCUACGACACAGCAUGAGAAGUGAGAGUUGGCCACUGUCUCUUGAGAUGUCCCACCAUAUAGUUACCUUGUGGACGGCAUGUGUAAAAGAGCUGUGAGGAGGUGUUUUGACGUUGUGGGUGUUUGAUUAUGUUAAACACCCAUGCCAUGACUGACUUUAUAUUAAGAAUAUUUCAGUGGAAUUCAUUUUUUAUUUAUUUUGAUUCAUGUCUGCCUUUCCUAGUAUCCCUGAUAUGUUGGUGUUUGUGACAUGCUUCAAAUCUAAAUACAAGUAAACAGUCAGAGACCAUGGACUUAUGCAAUGCCCUGAAGAUAAUGCACUGAAGGUGCAUUUAGGGACAUGAGAGGGAAACCAAAGGUAAGGAUAAGAAGAUUCUGGGACUGCCCUCUAGUGUGAGCACUACUACAGCACAGUACCUCACCCACAGAGGACUGAAGUGUUUUUUUUUUUCCCUCACAGAGUACAGAAGUGUUUUUCUUCCCUCUGACAAAAAAAAGCACACCUGAGAAAAGUCACCAAGUGGAGUGGUGGUGGUGGUGGGAGGAGUCAGGUGUUAUGUCACUUGAGGAAAGACAGCCGAGCCAGCGGCUGCGUCAUGUCAGAUGUGGGCCGGAUGCAUGUCAAACUCACCUGAGUGGGCAGCCCUGAUUCAUGCAAAAUUAUCUCCCUAAUUGAUACUAACAUUGGACUGGCAUUAUGAUUGAUGCCCAACCAUGGCAGAAUUGUGAUUUAUUAAAAUGAAUAAUAUUGUAUCAAUAAAUUAUUGGUUUUGAUUACUGAACUGAUUCCACAGGGACAGCAGAACAACGUUGGGUGGAAUGGAGAGCAUAUGAAUUAUUUAUAUACAUCAUAAUGUAUAAAUAUAUUUGUAGUAUGUAUGUAUGUGUAAUAUAUAUUUCAUGUUCCAAAUGUGAAUAAUUUGCCAUAUUAAACAUACCAAUACUCUAUUAACAAACUAUUAAAUCAGAAUGUUUGAGUCUCUUAUUUAGCCUAACUGAGAGCUGUGUCUCUCAGAGCUGUGCUCUGCAAUGAGACGUUCACAGUGGAGACACUGGCUAAUGCCAAAAUUGCUAAUGCCAACAGGUAGGCCUACUAGAACCUUACAUUCAAAUAUAAUUCAUUAUAUAUAUUCAUGCAGUGUAAUACAAUAGAAUGAGAUAAAGAGACAG